UACGGAGGGAGCUAGCGUUGUUCGGAAAUACUGGGCGUAAAGCGCACGUAGGCGGCGUCGCAAGUCAGGGGUGAAAUCCCGGGGCUCAACCCCGGAACUGCCCUUGAAACUGCAAUGCUAGAAUAUUGGAGAGGCAAGUGGAAUUCCGAGUGUAGAGGUGAAAUUCGUAGAUAUUCGGAAGAACACCAGUGGCGAAGGCGACUUGCUGGACAAUUAUUGACGCUGAGGUGCGAAAGCGUGGGGAGCAAACAGG
rnacentral:rRNA from 2 species